GCCAGGCGAUACCGCUUUUUGUAGUGGGCCUUUGUGCUUCCCUUUGUGGGCGCCUUUGCCGAAAGCAAGGCGAUAAGCCGAUCUUCGCCAACUUCUUUCGACCCUUCCUUGCCAACCCUCCGCCCGUCCCGCUCCGCUUCCGGGGACGGAAAGGAGACCCCCAGAAAGGUCGCCUCCAUCCUCCGGCUUCAAUCCCUCUGCUCUUCUCCUCUCGGUCGGUCCCCAAGAUUUGUCUCAUUGUGAGUUCAAGAGGGUUCUAGAAACCCUCCUGCGCUGCCAUCUUUCCCCUGUUCUCGUUCCCUUUUCUCGCGGUUUAUCGGCUCGAGUUCUUGAGGUUUCUUUUGCUGCGUUGUUUCGGAUGGUCUUGUUUCGGUUGAGGGUGUGGGGUCUGUUAUGUUUCUGUUGCUUUUUUCUUGUCCCCGAGAGGUUUGAUUUUGCUUCGCGGUGCGGCGACGAGAGUUAUGCUUGGCUUUCUUGCUCUUAGGGUUGUUGGUGGUUCGUUCUGAGCAGUGGAAGUUCUUGUUAUGGAUACUUCAUAUGCAGAGGAAUGCGGUUAUAGUGAUCUUGAUGAGGUUAUCGAGUUUAGAUUUCCUUGGAGGAAGCAGAAGAUGAAACCAGCGAGUUUUUGAGCUUGUUGAUGUUUGAUGGUGGAAGAUGACUUGAGAACGAAAGAGAGGCCCCAAGGAAGAUUACCUCCUUCCACCGAUUUCAAACCCUCUUCUCUACUGUCUCGGGGUUUCAAUUUCGUUCGUUCUUCUCCAAGAUUUGCCUCAAUGUUCUGGUCUUAACCCUUAUUUUCAUGGGUAUGGUCAUUUAAGUUCCCUUCGGGAGUUAGAAGCAAGCAGCAACUAUGGUCAUCUUGAGAUAAAUUGUCCGUCUACAACUGCAAUUUGUGGUGACAAUUUCUUGCAGUCAACUCAGCUUCUUUCUCCUCAUUGUCAACCUAGUAGAACUGAUUUUGGCAGAAGCAAAACGACGUUAGCAUAUUUGGCUGAUAACUCGCAUGUAUCAAAUGAAAGCAGAGCUUCUGUCAUGGAUUACAUGUCUUGGCAAAACAGAAUGAACAUUUGCAAUGCUCCCCGGGGAUCUUGUAGUAUGGGCAGUUACACCGGAAGAGUGUCCAAGGUCACAGAAGGAAGUUUGUCUGAUAUUCUAAAUAGCCUUAUUCCUGGAUCAAAAUAUGGAUCUCUCCGAUGAACAUGAUGUCUGCAUGAUUUACAUGUCUAGUUAUUGUAGUAUCUCAAGUUGUGCACCAAAUUAUUGGAGUUGAUAUAGGUUUUGAAGUACAUCAACUUGUGCAUCGUCGUCGUCGUCGUAGUGCUUGUGAUCUUCAGCGGAAGCAAUGCCAGCAGAUGUCUCUUAUUUUUCUGUUGAACUGUGGCCAUGAGAGCUAGAAUCACCAUACCAGGGAGUGUUGGUUUGUUCCGAAGUUGAUGAUGUCCACUUGAACAUAAUGUCAUGGACUAUAUGCCAAGGCAAGUAGGCCAUGAAAGAGUAAACUGGUGGUAUGGAUUCAGAGGGAGAUGCGCUGUGAAAGGUAAAUAAACUCGAAUGCUUUCAGUUGCAGCUGCAGCUGUGUACCAGCUUGGAUUAUAUUACGGAUCACAAAACUUUUGCUUGCAAGUUAUGAUGAUAUGGGGGAUUUGGUUCAAUAUUUUUGGAGUUAACCAGUGUUGCUGUGUCUCUCCGCCAAAAGGGUAUCAUCACCACCUUUCGUCAGCACGAGCAUGGGAAUCACCCCUCUCACAUUCAUUUGGUGUCUUCCCGCGUUUAGGUACGUCAUAAGCUCUCACCAUUCAUUUCGUCAGCGUUGUAAUAAAGGCAAAUAAAAAUAAAGAGACAGCAAAACCACGACUUCUUCGGUUCGGGUAAAAGCUAAACAACAACAACAAAUUUUUUUGA